GAUGAACGCUGGCGGCGUGCCUAAUACAUGCGAGUCGAGCGAACAGACGAGGAGCUUGCUCCUCUGACGUUAGCGGCGGACGGGUGAGUAACACGUGGAUAACCUACCUAUAAGACUGGGAUAACUUCGGGAAACCGGAGCUAAUACCGGAUAAUAUAUUGAACCGCAUGGUUCAAUAGUGAAAGACGGUUUUGCUGUCACUUAUAGAUGGAUCCGCGCCUCAUUAGCUAGUUGGUAAGGUAACGGCUUACCAAGGCAACGAUGCGUAGCCGACCUGAGAGGGUGAUCGGCCACACUGGAACUGAGACACGGUCCAGACUCCUACGGGAGGCAGCAGUAGGGAAUCUUCCGCAAUGGGCGAAAGCCUGACGGAGCAACGCCGCGUGAGUGAUGAAGGUCUUCGGAUCGUAAAACUCUGUUAUUAGGGAAGAACAAAUGUGUAAGUAACUAUGCACGUCUUGACGGUACCUAAUCAGAAAGCCACGGCUAACUACGUG
rnacentral:rRNA from 1 species